CGUUCCCGGGCCUUGUACACACCGCCCGUCACACCACGAAAGUUGGCAACACCCGAAGCCAGUGGCCCAACCCUUUGGGAGGGAGCUGUCGAAGGUGGGGUUAGCGAUUGGGGUG
rnacentral:rRNA from 1 species